CCUUUGCUCUGAGGUCAGCUGGCAGACCUGCAGCUCUCUGGAUUCUCUUUCCAACCUUUCUUGUACAUGGGAUAACCUCCAGUCAACUGGGACCUUCCCAGAUAGCCUGGACUGCUAGUAAAUGAUGGAAAUUGACUCAACAAGCACUUUCACCAGCUCCUUCAAAACACUUGACUGGAUCCUGUUCAGCCUCAUAGAUACAUGUGCCUCCAACUGUUGUACUGGGUCCCUGACCAUUUCUCCUUGGAUUAUGGGUGCUUGGUAUACAGGCUCUAAGCUGUGUAUUCAUCUGUACAAUGUUCCUGUUUCUUCCCCUGUCAUUGCCUGCAAAUGACGUGAUAGAGGAGAACACUGCUUGUGCUCCUGAUGCCCCAACUAUUCAUUCCAAGACCCUGAGGUCUCUAUUCAUUGUCCUCAAACUUCUUAUUGUGACUUCAUCACUGUCCACUUGAACAAACAGUAAUGGAGAAUAAAUCACAUCAGACUGGAGAAUUUCCUGAAGUGAAAUGCUCUACAGAAGAUGGCAAAAUACCAAAAAAGCAGAACACUCUGGAAUUCUCUGUAUAUUAAAAAAUUGGAUCUCCAAAUUCACUAAUCGGAAUUGUGUUCUGUGCUUUCUUCCUCCUGAAGAAACGGAUAUGCUUCUCAAAAUUGCUACCCAAUUAAUAUGUAGAAGAGCCCCUGAAUAUUUAAAAAUCUCAGCCAGAGCACUGACAGUCUCUGAUGGAAAGGAUUGUAGCUCAACUGGAACACAGAAAUUAAUUGUGCCAAUCAGUCAGCAAGUAGCAACCUGUCGCAAGUGCCUGCACAUAUUAACUAUGAAAUGAGUCAAAAGAAUAAAUAUUCA